rnacentral:sRNA from 1 species
AGCGGACUGCCAUUGGUCCGCAACCGCCGGCGACGACGGC